AUGGAGCACAAGGGCAAACACGGCAGAGGUGCGGAGCCGCUCCCUCACACAGAACACAGCAUGGGACAUCCAGCCACGUACUCCAGUCGCCCUCUUGCUAUCUGGCUGACGGGAGAAGCCAGCUGCGAACCCAGUUUGGGCCGUGGUGCGGCUCGCCGUUGCUGCGGGCGCCGGGCGCAGCCGUCAGACCGCGGAUCCGCACGCGGAGCUGCCGCGCCCCGCGGUGCCGGGCUGCCGCCGCCUUCCCACCGCACAGCCGCAGACACACAGCCUCGGGCUCGGCGGCGUUCAAGCCUCACCCGACUGAUCCUCCCCUUUAAAACCAACCAAGCCUUCUACGUCAGGAACUUCCCGACUUCGCAUCUAGCGAACCGCGGCCCUUCUCCCGCGAGCCGCGCUCGUUUUGCCGGCGUCCGUCCUACGGCGGGCGCUGCCGGGAGAGCCGCACACCGCAACCCCGCGCCGCCCGGCGGAGCGCCCCGCCUCCCCGCCGCGCACCAGGCAGCCCCCGGCCCCCGAGUUCCGUGCGGCCGCGCCGGCACACCGCGCGCAGCGGCCCCCGGCCGCCCCUACCUGCCGCCGCCCCGCUCCCGCUGCGGCCUCGCUCCGCCGGCGGGCAGUGCCAGCCCCGCCCUGACGUCAGCCCGCCGCGCCGCCCCGGCCGGGCCGCGACCCACGGCCGCGGGGACGCAGUGCCGCACAGACGCGGCAUGGCGGCGGGGCGGGGCGGGCUGUGCCCGGCUCCCGUGCCCGGCUCCGUUCCCGUGCCCCAUCGAACCAAGACGCCGAGGCUGCGUUUCCUUCUUUAUCUUCUCUGGAGAGAUGACAAACGGGCGAUUGCUGAUCUCGCUCCGUGGAAGUGUAACGAAGACUCAAAUAUUCGAAGUUCUUUGUCCAAGCACUGCGCUCGAGGCCAGAAGGGGCUGCUCCGUGACGCUUACGCAGAGCGGGGCACGGCUGCAUCUCAGCUCUGUGCGGGCCGGUGCUGCCCGCGCUGCUCAGCCUGAGCCGGGGGAGAACCCGGUGUCACGGGCACUUGGGUUGCUCCGAAAGCUUUGCCUCCUCUUUCUGCCGCCAUUCCGUCAGACUGCCCCUCUGCUGCCGUCUGUCACAGGGCAACAACAUGCAACGGCAUACUGGUGGAGAGGCUCAACCUCUGCUGCAGUGCCACCGACAUCUGCCUCUGGCACUAUGGGCCGACACCAUAAAAUAGGAGGCGUUACUUUCGGAGCAGCCCUGUAUGGUAUCUGCGGAUUCUUUGGCAUAAUGCAGCUGGGUUCAUCUCCCCAAAUCACGUUCAAUUUUGGGUGCCCACAACAUAACUGCUUAACUCUCCGCAGUUAUUUGAGGGUCCUCAUAAAUUCGUGA
rnacentral:lncRNA from 1 species